GAAUUCAUAUAUGCCAUGACAUUUCCACUGUUGAGUUUUGGAGAACAGUGCUUAACUAAUAUGCAGCAAGAAGAGUGCUGGUGGCAAAGUACUCUGUGUUCCCCUUUAUUUCCAAGUUCUCAGUGCGGAGGAAGCAGUAAUGUAUGAUUCUUCUGCUGAGCGUGGAGGCAUACCAAUGCUAAUUUCCUCCUAUCACUUUCAACCAAAACCCAGAGGAGGGAUAGGAGGACCCUUACAAGAACAGUGAGACCAGGGCAUAUCACCAAGAUGAAAGCAUAAAGAGAGGAAAACAUGGCAAUAGGUUGAACGUACAGUUAGCUGAUUCUGGUCAACAGCAUUUAUUAUAGACUUGUUUUCAGUCUGUUAAUUCCAAGUUUGAUCAAUUUUGAAAAGAAUAAAAAAGGCAUAGCUAAGCAUUAAGAUUGUUCUUUAAUUUACCCCUUAUAGAUUUUAGCUUCACUUUUAUGUUUGAUCUGGGAUACACUAUAACUGUGGUCCUACUGAUUGUGCAUGUGCUUGUGAACCUAGUCUCAGUCCUUCUAAUAGUCUAAGUUUCUGUGACCGAACUAUGAAUACUCAGAAGUCAGGUUGAAAGCACUACGAUUGCGACACCCCCUUCCCUAAUCAGAUAAUUUAGCAUUGUUCUUAUUUUUUCCUUUUAAAUGACUUGUAGAGGAUAGAGUUGUGUGAGGUUUGGUGUGUUGAAAGAAAAAGUGCUUUUGCUCUUUUGCCCCCCCCCCCCCACACACACAUUUGUUUUGUCACAUACAUUUUUUGUUUCUUCCCUUUUAUUUCAAUGCAGCUUUGAAAGCAUCUUAAAGAAAUAAAGCAGGGUAAUAUGUUGGUGUAAUAAUACAAUAAGCAAAAAAACAAACAAUUAAAACGGCUAAAACAGAAGGCUCAAUGAAGAAAUAACCCCCUUGUCCUUGAAAUUCGAAGUUGCUUUCUUUGCUCGAGUUUCUUUUUUAAUACAGCCAUUGUGAUAAAUGUUUUACCAUUUGCUAGGCUAUUUUGUCCACUUCAGGUAAAUUUUUUUUCUCUUCUUUUUAUCCAUAUGUCAGAUAGCUUGAUUUGCAAAGUCACCUUUCCUAAAAGUACAUUUUGGAAAGUGUCGUGGUUUCAAAGGACAGUUUACAUUUUCCUGAAUACAAGUAUAGCAAGAUAUCUGGAAAGCAUGUGAAAUAUAAAUGCUGCAGAUAAAGGGUACAAGGAAAUUAAAUUUUUAUUUGGGGGGGGUGUAACUGAAUAUUUUGACCCAACUAUACAACUUCAUGUUAGUUGUUUCUAUGUCUUUAAAACUAUACAGUUUACACCAUACAGUUGAUCGAAUCUAUCAGUUGCAGCUUGAUAUUGUAGACAUAAUUUUGUGUGUUGUUUCUUUAAGUUUAGUGUAAAUUUAACGUAUUUCAUUGAAAUUUCAUCCUCUUCUUUACACAACAAAAUUGUGACUACUGAUGAUUUGUAAUAUGGCUUCAUUGUUUUUAUUUAUUUUUAUUUUUUUACAUGAAAAGAAUUGAGUGUUUCCAGUAAUGGCAGUUUAUUGCUUGAAGGUUGGUUCUUUUCAUGUACUUUUCCAUCUAAUUGUUUCAGAAAUAUGUGGCUGUUUCAUUGUGUGCUGAUGCAUCAUACUAAAGGGGUGUAUAAAAGCAAUCUAAUAUUUUGGCACACCAUAAUUCUACAACCUUACAAUAUUAAUGUUUGUUUGUGUUAAAAAAAAUAUAUAUACAUAGGGUUUAUUUGUGACAUAUGUCCCCACACUGCAUAAGGCCCAAAUUACUUUACCUACAAAGUUUGAUAAGUUGCUUGCCUAUAUAAUUUCUUUUGUGGCUUUGGAGUGAGAGGUGGUAGGGAUAUGGUGUUCAUAAUGAAAAAUCCAGUCCAUCGUAAAUUUAAUUUUUGCUCUAAUACCAUCUUAUCCAUUCACUUUCGUCUUCUUCACUCUAAUGGAUGUGUAGCUUUCCAUCUGCUAGCUUAAAUUUAACCUGGAUGGGUAUUUUCCCCGAUUCAGUUUUUUGUUACAGAUGUUAGCAUGAGAAGUUACUACAUGUAUGCUACAUCAGCAGAGUGUAAAUUGCUACGAUGUGUGAAAUUUGGCGACAUUUGCUUUUUUAGAGCACCCUCAAACGGUUUUUUUUUUUUUUUUUUUUUUU